rnacentral:rRNA from 1 species
CCUACGGGAGGCUGCAGUCGAGAAUCAUCCACAAUGGGGGAAACCCUGAUGGUGCGACGCCGCGUGGGGGAAUGAAGGUCUUCGGAUUGUAAACCCCUGUCAUGUGGGAGCAAAUUGAAAAGCUAGUACCACAAUAGGAAGAGACGGCUAACUCUGUGCCAGCAGCCGCGGUAAUACAGAGGUCUCAAGCGUUGUUCGGAAUCACUGGGCGUAAAGCGUGCGUAGGCUGUUUCGUAAGUCGUGUGUGAAAGGCGCGGGCUCAACCCGCGGACGGCACAUGAUACUGGGAGACUAGAGUAAGGGAGGGGGAACCGGAAUUCUCGGUGUAGCAGUGAAAUGCGUAGAUAUCGAGAGGAACACUCGUGGCGAAGGCGGGUUCCUGGACAUUAACUGACGCUGAGGCACGAAGGCCAGGGGAGCGAAAGGGAUUAGAUACCCCAGUAGUC